UGUAAUCGACAGCCUUUGUAGACCACCUACUACAAUUUCCAUAAGAAUCGCUCUUAAAUGGCCAAAGUAUAACGACAAUUAUGCACGAAGGGAUUAAUCGGGUCGAUGCUUGAUAACAAGGAAGAAGGAAUACGUGUAUAUUUUGCGAUCUCUUUCUAACCUCACUACGAAUACCUCACGAAAAGCGAUGUUUUCAGGAAUUUACGGGAUGUCAAUCGAUUUAUCACGUAAGGUGAAAAACGAAAUGAGGAAGAAAUGGAUAAAGGAAAAAAAAAAAAAGAAAAAAAAGAUAAAAACUUUUAGAACAUUACCUGUUGCAAGAAGGCUCGAGAGAUAGCCAACCGGUCAAUCGGAUGAAAAUGUCGACGAACAUAAUUUUGAACGAAUGAUAGCCUUAUCUCUCUCUCUCUCUCUCUCUCCCUUUCUCUCUCUCUCUCUCUCUCUCUCUCUCUCUCUCUCUCUCGAUAGUUUACAUCUCAAAAUGUAUAGAAUGUUUCUUAAAAAAAAUGUCUUUCAAGGUGAUUCAAAUUCAUGUUUUAGAGGCACAUUAGAUUAGACAUCGAAAUAAGUAAAGUUAUUAUCAAUAGAAUAAUACGUUUGUCUCUUUCGCACGUACACGUGUUACCGUCGAUGCGUGAAAAUGCUGCCACUUUCUCGCGUGCAUGCGUGAU